UACGUAGGUGGCAAGCGUUAUCCGGAAUUAUUGGGCGUAAAGCGCGCGUAGGCGGGUCGAAAAGUCCGCUGUGAAAGCCCGAGGCUUAACCUCGGCGGGUCGGUGGAUACUGUCGGUCUUGAAGGUGCUAGGGGGAGAUGGAAUUACCGGUGUAGCGGUGAAAUGCGUAGAUAUCGGGAGGAACACCAAUGGCGAAGGCAGCUCGCUGGGACGUGACUGACGCUGAGACGCGAAAGCGUGGGGAGCAAACAGG
rnacentral:rRNA from 1 species